CACUGGCAGUGUUGGUGACGCU
rnacentral:miRNA from 8 species